CAGUUAUAGAUAAUUGAUUAUAGAUAAUUGAUUACUAGCAGUUUGCUGUUGAGGAAAAGGGUAUAUUAAGAAUUAUCCUUUUGAGCCAUGACUUUGACUGAUACUUUCAAAUAAGCAUUUUUAUUUUCAUUAUCAUACUUUAGACACCAGUAUAAAUGCAGUUUAAGUAGAUAAGAGCUGUGCCUUUGUUGCAGAGCUAAUAAUUAGCAUGUAGAUUCUCCUAAUGCUUUUGAUAACAGGAGGAACCUUUAAAAAAAAGAAAAUAAAAAGAAAAGGUGUUUUCAAGGAAGGACAAAAUAUAGAUUAGUGUAUUUAGGUCACAGCACUGACAACUCAAAUUGUUAUCCAACAAUUGCUGGGCUCGUAUACCCUGUCAUAUAUGGAUCUAUGUUUAAUAUCAGACUGUCAUUUUACAACAUAAAGCUGACCUGUUGGUUAAGUGGCCUUAGAUUGACAUACUACGCAGCUGACUCCAAGAUAGUGAAAACUUGACAAGAAUCUAGGAGUACAGAAUCUAGGAAUUUGCCUGGAGCCUUGGGUCUGCACAAACUGUUGCCUCGGGUAAACAGGAGCUCUUUGCAGUCAUCCCUGAUCACUGUGGAUGCCAACUGGAUCAAUAGUCUUCCACUUAGAGAAAUAACCUCUGUGGCUUCUUCAAGGGUGAUCCCAUGCCCUGCAUCCUGAAGUCUGUCGGAUCCUGCAGCUUGGAGCAAUGGCACAUUCAUGUCAUAUGCACCCAAAGGAAUAUUUCCAAACGACUUCUGUUAUUGGAGUGGAGUAGUUGGAAAUCACACCUGAUACAGUGAUAUCAAUAAAAAUGUAUUGACUCCUUC